GCCAAGCAUAGCCCACCACUACCAGAAGCUGGAAGAGGCAAGGAGGGAUUCUCCCCUACAGAUCUUUGUAGGAUGGCCAUGUUUGGUUAAGAAGAAUGACAGAUGAGCACAGAUGUUUUGCAAAUAUUGCUGGACUCAAUUGCUUUUCCUGUACUCCAUGUGGACUUUCUGACAGUGAAAGAAGGACAUGCUUCAGGAUGUCCAAGGAAUCUUGAUCACCGUUCCCUUCUGUAAGAUAUCAUACUGGUCGAUUAGAUUGAUGACACUGUGCUGAUUGGACCUAGCAGGAAAGAAGUAGCAACUAUUCUACACU